rnacentral:rRNA from 1 species
CAACUCUCAACAACGGAUAUCUUGGCUCUCGCAACAAUGAAGAACGCAGCGAAAUGCGAUACGUAGUGUGAAUUGCAGAAAUACGUGAAUCAUCAAAUCUUUGAACGCAUAUUGCGCUCGAGGCUUCGGCCAAGAGCAUGUCUGCCUCAGCGUCGCUUU